AACGAACGCUGGCGGCGUGCCUAACACAUGCAAGUCGAACGAGAAAACUCUCUUCGGAGAGUCGGUAAAGUGGCGCAAGGGUGAGUAACACGUGAAUAAUCUGCCCUCAAGAUUGGGAUAACUUGGCGAAAGUUGAGCUAAUACCAGAUAAGACCACGUUUCAUAAGUAAUGCGGUCAAAGGGGGUCUCAAUCCCCGCUUGAGGAUGAGUUCGCGGACCAUUAGCUAGUUGGAGAGAUAAAAGCUCACCAAGGCUACGAUGGUUAGCCGGCCUGAGAGGGUGAACGGCCACACUGGAACUGAGACACGGUCCAG
rnacentral:rRNA from 1 species